rnacentral:lncRNA from 1 species
UCUUCUUUUUUAUGAUUUCUUAUGUUAGCUUUAAGGCUUGGAAGAUUCCUGGAAGACUGGGGGGAAAUCCUAUGUUUAGCUGUUAAGCAGCCUUUCCACCUCCGUUUGGGAGAUAGCUGUCUUCCCAGGUCACAGGUCUCCCUUUCCUUCUUCAUCUUCCUGUUCUGAACCAUCUGCAGAUCUCUCCCUCUCCCUCUCCGUCUCCCUCUGCCUCUCUGUAGCAACAUUUUCUGCAGGUGCCUUUACUUUGGCCUUUAGUCCAAGAUAGGAUUGAGUCGAAAGUUGGUGUCAUUUAAAAACAUGGUGGGGGCUGGGCGCGGUUGCUCACGCCUGUAAUCCCAGCACUUUGGGAGGCCGAGGUGGGCGGAUCACGAGGUCAGGAGUUCAAGACCAUCCUGGCCAACGUGGUGAAACCCCGUCUCUACUAAACAUACAAAAAAAUUAG